CGUGAAGUUGGAAUUGCUAGUAAUCGCGGAUCAGCAUGCCGCGGUGAAUACGUUCCCGGGCCUUGUACACACCGCCCGUCACACCAUGGGAGCCGGUAAUACCCGAAGUCAGUAGCUUAACCGCAAGGGGGGCGCUGCCGAAGGUAGGAUUGGCGACUGGGGUGAAGUCGUAACAAGGUAUC
rnacentral:rRNA from 1 species